GAAAGAUGAAAAGAACUUUGAAAAGAGAGUUAAACAGUACGUGAAAUUGUUGAAAGGGAAACGAUUGAAGUCAGUCGUACCAGCGGGAAAUCAACCUUUCGAGUGGGGGUUUUGGAGUUUUGAAGAGUGGUUAAAACCUUUGAGAUUUCAAAAUUUUCGCUCCUUUGGUGUACUUUCUCGUGGGUAGGUUAACAUCGAUUUUGAUCAUCAUAAAAAGAUUGGAGGAAUGUAGCUUCGAUCUUGUAUUGAAGUGUUAUA
rnacentral:rRNA from 1 species